rnacentral:rRNA from 1 species
CGAGUCCGAGUCUCCACGGAGACGAAGUGGCGGUCAUCCAGCUUCCUAGAAAAGCUCUAACCACGUUAAUCUUUAGUUGCCUGUACCCGAAACCGACACAGGUAGGGGGGUAGAGAAUACCAAGGGGCGCGAGAUAACUCUCUCUAAGGAACUCGGCAAAAUGACCCCGUAACUUCGGGAGAAGGGGUACCACUGAGAAGUGGUCGCAGUGAAGAGGCCCAGGCGACUGUUUACCAAAAACACAGGUCUCCGCCAAGUCGCAAGACGAAGUAUGGGGGCUGACGCCUGCCCAGUGCCGGAAGGUUAAGGAAGUGGGUUAGGGAUUCGUCCCGAAGCUGACGACUGAAGCCCCGGUGAACGGCGGCCGUAACUAUAACGGUCCUAAGGUAGCGAAAUUCCUUGUCGGGUAAGUUCCGACCCGCACGAAAGGCGUAACGAUCUGGGCGCUGUCUCGGAGAGAGGCUCGGCGAAAUAGGAAUGUCUGUGAAGAUACGGACUACCUGCACCUGGACAGAAAGACCCUAUGAAGCUUUACUGUAGCUUGGAAUUGGGUUCGGGCUUGGUUUGCGCAGGAUAGGUGGGAGGCGAAGAAGAUUUGCUUGUGGGUGAAUCUGAGCCAACGGUGAGAUACCACUCUAACCAGGCUAGAAUUCUAACUUCAACCCGUCAACCGGGGGAAGGACAGUUUCAGGUGGGCAGUUUGACUGGGGCGGUCGCCUCCUAAAAGAUAACGGAGGCGCACAAAGGUUCCCUCAGGCUGGUUGGAAAUCAGCCAACGAGUGCAAAGGCAGAAGGGAGCUUGACUGCGAGACCUACAAGUCAAGCAGGGUGGAAACACGGUCUUAGUGAUCCGACGGCACCGAGUGGAAGGGCCGUCGCUCAACGGAUAAAAGUUACUCUAGGAUAACAGGCUGAUCUCCCCCAAGAGUUCACAUCGACGGGGAGGUUUGGCACCUCGAUGUCGGCUCAUCGCAACCUGGGGCGGAAGUACGUCCCAAGGGUUGGGCUGUUCGCCCAUUAAAGCGGUACGUGAGCUGGGUUCAGAACGUCGUGAAACAGUUCGGUCCAUAUCCGGUGUAGGCGCAAGAACAUUGAGAGGAGUCUUCCUUAGUACGAGAGGACCGGGAAGAACGCACCGCUGGUGUACCUGUUAUCGUGCCAACGGUAAACGCAGGGUAGCCAAGUGCGGAGUGGAUAACCGCU